rnacentral:misc_RNA from 1 species
GAAGGAUGAGUUGGAUCGUCAGAAACAAGCUGAGAAGAAAAAGAGGCGGUUAGAAAAAGCCCUUGCUACUUCAGCAGCUAUUAUAUCUGAACUUGAAAAGAAAAAACAAAUGAAGAAGGAAGAACAGCAAAGGCUAGAUGAAGAAGGUGCUGCUAUUGCUGAGGCUGUUGCUUUGCAUGUCCUGAUUGGUGAAGAUUCAGAUGACCCAUACAAGAUUCUUCUUAAGAACGACGGUCUCAACCCUUGGGAGUGCCCUGGGCAGUUUGACCACGUAAUGAAUGUUACUAGACCUGGCAUUCCAGUGCAGGAGUUCGGGAGGUGCUCCCUUGAAGGGACUGGUUGGACCUCUAAUAUCGAUAGAUUUGGAUCAAUGUGGCAUGGUUUUAGGAAUGACUACUGGUCAGUUUCCGCUGGACCUUAUGCUGAAGAUCACGCGUUAUGUUUCAAGCAAGUUGAUGGUGCUGUAAAUGAGAUUUCUGCUGGUAUUAUAGCGGCGCAGGCUGUCUCUUCACUUCAGAUAACGGUAGAUGGGGAUGAAGAAAUCAACGUCCUUAACAGAAUGCGAAGGAGUAUGUAAAUUACUCUGCACAUUUGAGAUGGUAGUUUGGUUUGGUACAUGUUUGCAGAAUCAUUCGCCUCUACAUUGUCAACCUGAAUCCUGCCAUUUUACACGGGAGAUUUGUCGACUUUUUGUGGGGGAGUUUUAAGUUAUCUUGUACCCAGAGUCGUUCUUAUAGACCUUAAGCU